CUUUCUCCAUCUAGAUCUUUCAUCCAUUUUGAAUUUAUUUUGGGGUUAUAAUGUAACAAAGUGGUCCAGGUUCAGCCUUCUGCUGUGGCUGUCCAAUUUUCCCAGCACCAUUUGUUGAAGAGGCUGUCUUUUUCCCAUUGGACAUUCUUUCC